AUUGAACGCUGGCGGCAUGCUUUACACAUGCAAGUCGAACGGCAGCGCGGGCUUCGGCCUGGCGGCGAGUGGCGAACGGGCGUGUAAUGCAUCGGAACGUGCCCAGUAGUGGGGGAUAGCCCCGCGAAAGCCGGAUUAAUACCGCAUACGCCCUGAGGGUGAAAGCGGGGGACCGAAGGACCUCGCGCCAUUGGAGCGGUCGAUGUCGGAUUUGCGAGUUGGUGGGGUAAAGGCUUACCAAGGCGCCGAUCCGUAGCUGGUCUGAGAGGACGACCAGCCACACUGGGACUGAGACACGGCCCAGACUCCUACGGGAGGCAGCAGUGGGGAAUUUUGGACAAUGGGGGCAACCCUGAUCCAGCCAUGCCGCGUGCGGGAAGAAGGCCUUCGGGUUGUAAACCGCUUUUGUUCGGGAAGAAAUCCUCUGGGCUAAUACCCCGGGGGGAUGACGGUACCGGAAGAAUAAGCACCGGCUAACUACGUG
rnacentral:rRNA from 1 species